rnacentral:rRNA from 1 species
GACCCUAGUUAGGUGGGAUUACCUAUUGAGUUUAAGCACAUUGAUAAGCAGAGAAAAAGAAACUUACCAAGAUUUUUUUAGUAACGAUAAAUGAACUGAGUAGAGCCUAACUUGAGAAUCGAGCACCCAUGGCAUCUGAAUUGUAGUUUGGAAAAGCAUCCUUAAUAGUAGACUAGGCCAAACUCCCUUGGAAGGGGCACCGAGAGGGCGAGAGCCCCAUUAUGCCGAGACCUUGUCACACCGAAGGCAUUAUCUGUGAGUCGGGUUAUUUAAAAAUGCAGCCCCAAUUGGGCUAUAAAUUUUGUGUGGGGCUAAAUAGACUCGAGAGAUCGAUACCGAACAAUACCAUAAGUGAAAGAUGAAAAGGACUUUGAAAAGAGAGUCAAAGAGUGCUUAGAAUUAUUGAGAAAAAAGUAGAUGGGGCUAGUGAUGCACCCUAAUCGAAUGUAAAAUGGUAAAAGAUAGUCUAUCAAUCGAUCGAUUUGUCGAUCAGCUCGGGGAGUGGACCAACUUAGGUCACAACAGCAGCCCAAGCCCAAGCUCUUGAUAUGCCUUUAGAGAUAUUGUCACCAUGAUUGUGGAAUGCAACACACACCACCUUAGUGUAACUUAGUACCCACGUGCUCCUAACAUCAACCUGUAAGCUCCCAAUCUAGCCCAUCUUAAAACAUGAACUAAAGAGUCUGACAUGUGUGUGAGUCAAUAGGCUAGAAAACCCGUAAGGCAUAAAGAAGUUGAUUGGUGGGAUACCUCAUAGGUGCACUGCCUACUAACCUUGAUCUUUUAAGAAGGGUUUAAGUGUGAGCAUGCAUGUCAAGACCUAAAAAAUGGUGAACCAUACCUGAGCAAGGUGAAGCCAAAAGAAACUCUAGUGGAGGCCCAUAGUGAUAUUGAUGUUGAAAUCGUUCAUCUAACUUAGGUAUAGGGGCAAAAAACUAAUCAAACCAUCUAGUAGCUAGUUCCCUUUGAAGUUUCCCUUAGGAUAGCUGUACCCUUAGUGAGUUCUAUAAGGUAAAAGCUAAUGAUUAAAGGCAUUAGGGUUGCAAUGCCCUUGACCUAUUCUCAAACUUUAAAUUGGUAGGAUGACGCUGCUACUUCAUUGAGCCAUGCCAUGGAAUCAAUAGCUCUAAGGGGGCCAUUUUUGGUAAGCAAAAUUAGCAAGGUGGGUUGAACUGAAAAUCGAGUUACAGUGCCCAACUACAUGCUAACUUAGAAUGGAUGGUGCUUAAGUGUGUGACCUAUACCUAGCUGUCGGGGAAAAGAUUGAGCCCUGAUGAGCAAGAAGGCAAGGUGAUCAUUGCAAAACCCAGAGUAUGAGCCUAAACAGAGCAACCGUCGGUGCAGAUGUUGGUAGUGGUAGCAAAUAUUCAAAUAAGAAUUUUAAAGGCUGAAGAAGGGAAAGGUUCCAUGUGAACUAAACUUGCACACGGGUUAGUUGAUCCUACGAGAUAGGGAAAAUUCAUCUGAUAGCACAUCAGUGUUAGCUUUAAAAGGGAAUUAGGUUAAAAUUCCUAAACCAGAAUGUGGUAGCUAAUAACAACAUUAAGGAGUCUAGAGACAUUGGUGAUGGCCUAAGAAAGAGUUAUCUUUUUUGUGUAAUGGCUUGCCCACCCUAGAAACAGCUUAGCUAGAGGUAGGGUCUAGCAGCUAGAAGAGCACCGCACAUCAUGCAAUGUCUAGUGCACCAUUGAUGGCCCUUAAAAAUCUAGAGGAUUGAAUGCCAUCUGUGCUUGGUUAUACUCAUAAUCGUAUCAGGUCUUUUAAGUGAAUAGUCUCUAGUAGAUGGAAUAAUAUAGGUAGGGGAAGUUAGCAAAAUGGAUCUAUAAGCUCAAGAAAAAGAUUGGCUUUGAAGGCUAGGUAUAGGGGUCCCAGUCUUGAACCCAUUGACUGUCAUUGCACUACUCUAGCUGUUCCUAUGGUGUGAGUAGGCCAUAGCUUACUAGCUGAGGGAUGGACUAGGAAUGCCUCCCUUGUGGGCCUUCCUCGAAUGAUGAACAAUCAACUCAAAACUAGUAUAGGCAAAGGGAAUUUGACUAUUUAAUUAAAACAUAGCAUUAUGACGGUCUUUGUAAAUGCUCACACAAUAUGAUUUUUGCCCAGUGCUCUGAUUGUCAAAGUGAAAAAAUUCAACCAAGCACGGGUAAAUGGUAGGAGGAAGUAUGACUCUCUUAAAGUAGCCAUAUGCCUUGUCAUCUAAUUAGUAAUAGGCAUGAAUGGAUUAAAAAGAUUCCCACUGUCUCUGUCUACUAUCUAGUGAAACCAUAGCCAAAGGAAUGGGCUUGGUAGAUUCUGUGGGGAAAAAAGACCCUGUUGAGCUUAACUUUAGUUAGACUUUGUGAAAUGACAUAAUAAGUGUAGGAUAAGUGACAGCCCUAAGGUGAAAUUGAAAUACCAUAACUUUUAAUGUUAUUUUACUUAUUCCAUGUAUCAGAGGUGGGGUAUGACUUUUGGACCUAAGGCCAACCUCAAUUGGUUGAUCUUGGUAAAAACAUUGUUAGGUGGGGAGUUUAGCUGGGGUAGCAUAUCUGUUAAAAGAUAAUUAAAUGUCCUAAGAUGAGCUCAAUAAAAAUAGAAAUAUCAUUUGAAAUAAAAGGGUAAAAGCUCAUUUGAUUAUGAUUUAUAGUAUGAAUAUGAAUCAUGAAAGGAUGGCCUAUCGAUCCGUUAAACCUUUAAAAUUUCUAGCUAAAGGUGUCAAAAAAGUUACCUCAUGGAUAACUGGCUUGCGGCAGCCAAUCUUUCAUAGUGACAUUGCUUUUUCAUCCUUUGAUGUUAGUUUUUCCUGUAUUAUGAAGUAAAAUUCAUCAUGUGUUUAAUUUUCACCCACCAAUAGGGAAUGUGAGCUUGGUUUAGACCAUCGUGAGAUAGGCUAGUUUUGCCCUACUGAUGGCAGCAUCGCAAUAGUAAUUCAACCUAGUAUGAGAGGAACCAUUGAUUCUCGCAAUUGGUAAUCGCACUUGGUUGAAAAGUUGGUGGCGUGAAGCUAUGAUGUGCUAAAUUAUGACUAAAUGCCUUUAAUUUAGAAUCUAGGCUAGAAGUGAUGCAUGCACCUGUCACCUAAUUGCUAACCUAUAAUAGAGGCCGAUGCCCUCUAAGGGCAUAUGUCAUAGGUGUAGCCCCUGAAAUAGACAAGCCACACAGGCCUCCUUAGAGCUCAAUUCCCACUAAG